CGAACGCUGGCGGCAGGCCUAACACAUGCAAGUCGGACGGUAGCACAGGGGAGCUUGCUCUCCGGGUGACGAGUGGCGGACGGGUGAGUAAUGUCUGGGAAACUGCCCGGUGGAGGGGGAUAACUACUGGAAACGGUAGCUAAUACCGCAUAACGUCUUCGGACCAAAGUGGGGGAUCUUCGGACCUCACGCCACCGGAUGUGCCCAGAUGGGAUUAGCUAGUAGGUGGGGUAACGGCUCACCUAGGCGACGAUCCCUAGCUGGUCUGAGAGGAUGACCA
rnacentral:rRNA from 1 species